GGGACCUUCUCAUGGGUGAGCUAUGAUUCAGAAAUCUCCCCGCUUGCAGAUGAAAGUUUCAAAUGAACUGAUUUCCUGAAGCAAUGGGAUGUGCGGUCAAGUGGAGGAAUAUGACUCUGUGAGUCUCAUGCAGAGGUGAAAAGGCACUGUCUGAAACAGGAGCCACUGAACCUCAUUUUAAUCGUGCAUCUGAUCCCACAGCGUCAGCCCUUGCAAUACUAUUCUAUAGUAUCACAUGCAUUACUAUUAAAUUACAUGCCUAUAGGAAAAUCAACAUCUAUUAAAACAGGAUUUUCCAGAUCCAUGUUGCUCACAGACUUGAAAAAAAAAGGCUUCUGAGUUCUGGAAGAAUUUCUCUGCCUGAAGCAAGAUGAGGAAUUGCUUUUCAGAAAGUUUCAGUCUUGAUCUCAUUUUCUAUAAAAAAUAUUAUGGGAAUUCUUUUUAACCCUUGAUCAAAUCAGGUACUGAGCUGCAUCAUAAGAAACAGGCCGUGUUUAUGAGAAACCCAUUAUGAGAUUCUAUCAGCCCUGACGCCCUUUAAAUAAUUGAUCGAAUAACAUCAUGUAUUACAAGAAGUAUUGGAUGCUACUGGCUGGUGUAAUUCUGAUGAACUGAUAUGUGUGCUGCUCGCUUCUCUGCUGAAGACAUCCAUCAUUCAGACAGAGUGAGAGUCAACAAUACAACAAACAGCAUGAAAGAUGCAAAAUUUUCCAUAUCCUACGCAUUUCCCUACAGAUCUUUUUAGCAGAAGCACGUCUAGAUAUAAAACAGUGAACAGUGAAACAGUGGACACCAUUCAAUGUACAGCAAAUUAAAAAUAUCUGUGAAUAUUUUGAAUCUAAUCUUCAUACAAAGCUAUCAUAUAACUCUUUUAAGACUUGGAAUAUGGCUUAAAAGUCAUAUUGUAUACUUUUACGAUGCAUUUUUUCCCUUUGUGGCGGAGUAUCAAUUAAAUUGCCAUCCACUUUUUUGUCUAAUACAAGAAGAGAAAAUAAUAUUGUGUUAUAUUAUGGGUGAGUAAAUUAAGACAAACAUUUCCAUUUCUCGGU
ensembl:lncRNA